rnacentral:rRNA from 1 species
ACAGUGGACGCGAGCAUCUUUGUUGUAAGUGUUUAAGAGCGUACGGUGGAUGCCUUGGCACCAGGAGCCGAUGAAGGACGUAGGAGGCUGCGAUAAGCCUCGGGGAGCUGUCAACCGAGCUGAGAUCCGAGGAUGUCCGAAUGGGGAAACCCAGCCACAGUGAUGUGUGGUUACCCGCGCCUGAAUAUAUAGGGCGUGUGGAGGGAACGUGGGGAAGUGAAACAUCUCAGUACCCACAGGAAGAGAAAACAACAUGUGAUUCCGUGAGUAGUGGCGAGCGAAAGCGGAAGAGGCUAAACCAUGGGUGUGUGAUAGCCGGCGGGCGUUGCAUUCGUGGGGUUGUGGGAUCCGUCUUGUCAAUUCUGCCGGAUUGGCCGACAGUGAGAAAUCAUCGUGUUAGUCGAAGUGGUCUGGAACGGCCUGUCGUAGAGGGUGAGAGUCCCGUAGACGAAAACAUGGUGACUGUCGUGACGGACACCCGAGUAGCAGCGGGCCCGUGAAAUCUGCUGUGAAUCUGUCGGGACCACCCGAUAAGCCUGAAUACUCCCUGGUGACCGAUAGCGGACUAGUACCGUGAGGGAAAGGUGAAAAGUACCCGGGAGGGGAGUGAAAUAGUACCUGAAACCGUGCGCUUACAAUCCGUCAGAGCCUGCGCCACUUUUGGUGGGUGGGUGAUGGCGUGCCUUUUGAAGAAUGAGCCUGCGAGUUAGCGGCAUGUCGCGAGGUUAACCCGUGUGGGGUAGCCGUAGCGAAAGCGAGUCCGAAUAGGGCGUUUGUAGUGGCAUGUUCUAGACCCGAAGCGGAGUGAUCUACCCAUGGCCAGGGUGAAGCGACGGUAAGACGUCGUGGAGGCCCGAACCCACUUAGGUUGAAAACUGAGGGGAUGAGCUGUGGGUAGGGGUGAAAGGCCAAUCAAACUCCGUGAUAGCUGGUUCUCCCCGAAAUGCAUUUAGGUGCAGCGUCGCGUGUUUCACUCUGGAGGUAGAGCUACUGGAUGGCCGAUGGGCCCACAAGGUUACUGACGUCAGCCAAACUCCGAAUGCCAGAGUGUGAGAGCGCGGCAGUGAGACUGCGGGGGAUAAGCUUCGUAGUCGAGAGGGAAACAGCCCAGAUCGCCGGCUAAGGCCCCUAAGCGUGUACUAAGUGGAAAAGGAUGUGGGGUCGCGAAGACAACCAGGUUUGGCUUAGAAGCAGCCACCCUGAAAGAGUGCGUAAUAGCUCACUGGUACAAUUUAUCCUGCGCCGACAUGUAGCGGGGCUCAAGUACACGCGAAGCCGCGGCAUUCACAUAACACCCAUGCGGGUCUACGGGGCCUGUGUGCAGUGGUGUGGAUGGGUAGGGGAGCGUCGUGCAGCCAUGGAAGCGCCGGAGUGAUCCCUGUGGGAGGCUGCACGAGUGGAAUGCAGGCAUGAGUAGCGAAAGACGAGUGAGAAACUCGUCCGCCGAAUGACCAAGGGUU